UUUCAGCCGCUGAGUGCAAUUACGCGCAAAUUGAAAGAGAGGCAUUGGCUGUUGUCUUCGGGGUUACAAAGUUCCGGGAAUAUCUGCUCGGAAAUCAUUUCACGCUUGUUACAGAUCACAAACCUCUUCUGAGCCUUUUCAGCCCCGACAAGCCCGUUCCCGCCAUGGCCGCUGCCCGGAUUCAGCGUUGGUCCCUCUUGCUAAGCAACUACAACUACAAAAUUCAGUUCAAGCGAGGAAAAACGUUGAUUCCUGCAGACACCCUCAGCCGUUUACCGGUGCGGCAGGAGCAUAACACUAAGGCUGCAGAAGAUGACGCUCGUGGGUAUGUUCUUCUGACCGAUCACCUCAACACCUGUCCUCUGUCGGCGAGUGACUUGGCUAAGAUGACUGUUGACGACAGCAACCUCGCGCAAGUUCGCGAUUACAUUCAGAAUGGCUGGCCACGGUACUUGCAACCUGCUCAUGAGCCGUUACGCGCGUACAUGCACAGGAAAAAUGAACUGACGUACAGCCAUGGAAUUGUGUACUGGGGCCAUUGAGCGGUUAUUCCAACAAGUGCACGGCAGUCAAUGCUGUGUAUGCUGCAUGAUGCACAUCAAGGGAUAACGGCUAUGAAGAACCUGGCACGUUCUGUUUUCUGGUACCCAGGGCUCGAUCGGGACAUUGAGAAGCUGGUCAACACAUGUCCAACACGCAUAGAAUGGGGCAGCAUGCCUCCUGCCCGACAACCCAUGCCUUGGCCGGACACAGAGGAGCCAUGGUCUAGGGUCCAUGUCGAUUUUGCGGGUCCUGUGGAAGGUGCGUGCAACAGUGGCCAAUCACUGUGCAAAGACGUCUGGUUCAAGAACUAGGGAGUGGGUGACAAAUGGAAACCAGGCUUGGUAGAGUCCACCGAAGGCUCGCAAAUGGCAGCGGUAAAGACUGCAGAUGGGGAGCAACAUUGCCGCCACCUCGACCAGCUAAAGAGCAGGAGGACCAGCGUGAGAGGAGAAGCGGUGGAACCCGAGGCCCCCAUGCAAGUACCAACGGCUAAAGGCAGCCAGAACGCAGCGGCAGACUCGCAGUCUCAAGGACACGACAGCAGUCACAGUCAGGCUCAAGUAGGCAUCGACAUUCAAACGCCGUCAGAUGGGCGGGCCGAAGCCGAGGGUGCUACCAGCAAGACGCAAGUGACUGACCGCGCUGAAGUGACACUGUGCAGGUCGAAACGGGAGCACCGGCCCCCCCGACCGCUUCAGUCCUUAAGGGGGAAGAAUUGUUAUGAAUCAGCAUGCGCCACUGACACAUGUUUAUUUUGUUAGAUUCACCAGCCAUGCCUCUUGUGAAUGGGCAGUGGCUGCGGUGACGUCACAAGAUAAAGGCUAUAAAAGCUACACUAACCUUUAAUAAAGCAUUUGUUCUUUGCCAA
rnacentral:lncRNA from 1 species